rnacentral:rRNA from 1 species
GACGAACGCUGGCGGCGUGCUUAACACAUGCAAGUCGAACGGUAAGGCCCUGCUUUUGUGGGGUGCUCGAGUGGCGAACGGGUGAGUAACACGUGAGUAACCUGCCCUUGACUUUGGGAUAACUUCAGGAAACUGAGGCUAAUACCGGAUGGGAGCUCCUGCUGCAUUGUGGGGGUUGGACAGUUUCGGCGGUUGGGGAUGGACUCGCGGCUUAUCAGCUUGUUGGUGGGGUAGUGGCUUACCAAGGCUUUGACGGGUAGCCGGCCUGAGAGGGUGACCGGCCACAUUGGGACUGAGAUACGGGCCAGACGCCGACGAGAGGCAGCAGUGGGGAAUAGUGCACAAUGGGCGGAAGCCGGAUGCAGCAACGCCGCGUGCGGGAUGACGGCCUUCGGGUUGUAAACCGCUUUCGCCUGUGACGAAGCGUGAGUGACGGUAAUGGGUAAAGAAGCACCGGCUAACUACGUG